rnacentral:rRNA from 1 species
CCUACGGGAGGCAGCAGUGAGGAAUAUUGGUCAAUGGACGAGAGUCUGAACCAGCCAAGUAGCGUGAAGGAUGACUGCCCUAUGGGUUGUAAACUUCUUUUAUAAAGGAAUAAAAUGUUCCACGUGUGGGAUUUUGUAUGUACCAUAUGAAUAAGGAUCGGCUAACUCCGUGCCAGCAGCCGCGGUAAUACGGAGGAUCCGAGCGUUAUCCGGAUUUAUUGGGUUUAAAGGGAGCGUAGGUGGAUUGUUAAGUCAGUUGUGAAAGUUUGUGGCUCAACCGUAAAAUUGCAGUUGAAACUGGCAGUCUUGAGUACAGUAGAGGUGGGCGGAAUUCGUGGUGUAGCGGUGAAAUGCUUAGAUAUCACGAAGAACUCCGAUUGCGAAGGCAGUUCACUGGACUGCAACUGACACUGAGGCUCGAAAGUGUGGGUAUCAAACAGGAUUAGAUACCCGUGUAGUC